CGCAGUCGCAGUGUUACGGAUCUUGAUAAAAAUGGUGCGUUAGCGCGAGUUUCCGCGGAAAAAAAAUCAGAAGCAGUGGGACCUAGUGCGGCUGUUCGUCACUCGCUGUCGUUUCCUAAUAUGCUAAGUGCUUCAUCCUUGUUAUCAAUAAAAUCCUUCGGUUCUGUCCUCGAGAGGCUUGCUACGAUGCAGCUGUAACAAUACCACCGUUGUAGUGGACAAUCAUUCCGCCUCAUAGUAUGGCCUCGGUCGCCGCUUGGCUGCCCUUCGCACGGGCGGCGGCCAUCGGUUGGGUGCCCAUUGCAACUCACCCGCUACCGCCACCUCCCAUCCCUAAAGACCGAAGGAAAGCGGACGACGAAAAAUUGCUCAUUAACGUAUCCGGACGCCGCUUCGAGACUUGGCGGAAUACCCUCGAAAAGUAUCCGGACACCCUCUUGGGCUCAAACGAACGAGAGUUCUUCUACGACGAAGAUAGUAAGGAAUACUUUUUCGAUCGGGAUCCCGACAUAUUCCGGCAUAUUCUUAACUAUUAUCGAACAGGCAAGUUACAUUAUCCUAAGCAUGAAUGCCUUACGAGUUACGAUGAAGAACUUGCGUUCUUCGGAAUACUUCCUGAUGUUAUUGGAGACUGCUGUUAUGAAGAUUAUAGAGAUAGGAAACGCGAAAAUGCGGAAAGACUUAUGGACGACAAGUUGUCGGAAAACGGCGAUCAAAAUCUUCAGCAGCUGACCAACAUUCGGCAGAAGAUGUGGCGUGCUUUUGAAAAUCCUCACACAUCAACUGCUGCACUCGUUUUCUAUUAUGUUACUGGUUUCUUCAUUGCCGUUUCGGUUAUGGCAAACGUUGUGGAAACCGUUCCAUGUGGUAUUAGGCCUGGAAGGGCCGGCCCUCUUCCAUGUGGCGAACGUUACAAGAUUGUCUUCUUCUGUUUAGAUACUGCUUGCGUUAUGAUUUUCACGGCCGAAUAUCUUUUGCGUCUUUUUGCGGCUCCUAAUAGAUAUAAAUUUGUGAGGAGCGUAAUGAGUAUUAUUGAUGUCGUGGCUAUCCUUCCGUAUUAUAUUGGUCUUGGAAUUACAGACAACGACGAUGUGUCUGGAGCGUUUGUGACCCUAAGAGUAUUCAGAGUGUUUCGAAUAUUUAAGUUUUCCAGACAUUCUCAAGGUCUCAGAAUUCUCGGUUAUACUUUAAAAUCUUGUGCUUCUGAGCUUGGAUUUCUUGUUUUCUCGUUGGCGAUGGCUAUUAUUAUAUUUGCAACAGUUAUGUUCUACGCUGAGAAAAAUGUGAACGAAACCAAUUUUACUUCGAUUCCUGCAGCUUUUUGGUAUACCAUCGUCACCAUGACUACCUUAGGCUAUGGAGAUAUGGUGCCUGAAACAAUAGCUGGUAAAAUUGUUGGAGGAGUUUGCUCUCUUAGUGGUGUCCUUGUAAUUGCCUUGCCUGUACCAGUAAUUGUAUCAAAUUUCAGCAGAAUCUACCAUCAAAACCAGAGGGCUGACAAACGCAAAGCUCAGAGGAAAGCAAGACUGGCGCGCAUAAGAAUUGCAAAAGCAUCAUCGGGAGCGGCUUUCGUAAGCAAGAAGAAAGCUGCCGAAGCUCGUUUGGCUGCCCAAGAAUCAGGAAUUGAAUUAGACGACAAUUAUCGUGAAGAAGACAUUUUCGAAUUGCAACAUCAUCACCUGCUCCGUUGUUUGGAGAAAACGACAGACAGGGAAUUCGUCGAGUUAGAAGUGCCGUACAAUGGACAUCCAAAGAGACCAGGAUCUCCAUCUCCGUUAGCAAGUCCAGCACAUUCAGCUGUGUCAAUUGGUCUUUUACAGUCAUGCUGCGGACGAUGCUGCCCUCGUAGGUAUCAACAAGCCUGCGGUAAAUAUAUGCCAGCCGCAGCCGCAGCCCAAAGUAACCAAACCGGAGGCGGAAUGGACGGGACCUAUCUCGUAGAAGCUUCGUUUUAAAAUAAUGGUAACCUUCCGCCCUUGAUAUUCGACUUUUCAUUGUAGAGUGAUGAUAAAAAAAAAUUGAAAAACGAUUAUUAGUUUACGAGACUUAAUUAUUAAUUCUUUACUUUCCAAAACAUUGUUCGCGUGUCGAAGAUGUAGUGCGACUUAUGUGAUAUCGCAUAAUAUAAUUAUAUUUAGGUCUCAAAACGACAACGCGGACACUUUUUAAAAACCCCUGCCGGACGCCCUGCAAACUAGGACAAAUCGGGGGAAUCCCGGACGGAUGGCAGCCCUACCUUAGAUCAACAUUGAUACUUUAGCAACCCUGAUGGGGAUAAACUGAAAAUGUAAACAGUCACCAAAAUUACUUCAUUGGUUAUUACAAAAUUGUGCAUUUCUGGGUCAAAUGCAUUUUAUUUAUACCUUCAUAUACAUAUAAGGGAUAUUUAAAGUAGAAUAGAUAAUAACAAACAAGUACCUGUAGCAAGACACUUACAUUAUUAUGUUAUAUUUUAUAUUAAAGUAAAACGCAUAAAUAGAACUGUCCCAGUGUUCAAUAAUAUAACAAUUUUAUCUGCCGUAAGUGCAUAUGUUACAUUGUAUGUUCUAUGUUGUAUAGAAAUAAUAAGUACUUUUUUUAUUUCACACUCUGUAAGCUUCGGUAACUAGAGUAUUUUACUUAUUACGAAAAAGUAUCAAGCUUGGGCAAUUAAAGUACCUGUCUACAUAAAAAAGAAGAAAUAACUAGAAUUAAGAUGUUAAUUUUUCAAUUUUUUGUAAAUUCAUUUAUAAAUUAAUUAUUUUUUUUUUGCUUUGGUACAAUAAGAGAAUUUUUUGUAAGAAAUAAUUCAUAACAUAUUAAUAUGACGCUUUGAUAAGUAACUUAUUGUAUUGCUCAAAAAAAUUAAAUAUCCUAAUACACACGUUUUCUGUUUAAUAUUUUGUUGUUACU
rnacentral:misc_RNA from 1 species